rnacentral:pre_miRNA from 1 species
AGGGGAGAACUCUUGCAUGACUGGCGUUUCUUUCAUAGGUCUGUCAUGGAGUUGCUCUCUUUA